GAUGAACGCUGGCGGCGUGCUUAACACAUGCAAGUCGAACGGAAAGGCUCCUGCUUGCAGGGGUACUCGAGUGGCGAACGGGUGAGUAACACGUGGGUGAUCUGCCCUGCACUUCGGGAUAAGCCUGGGAAACUGGGUCUAAUACCGGAUAGGACGAUGGUUUGGAUGCCAUUGUGGAAAGUUUUUUCGGUGUGGGAUGAGCUCGCGGCCUAUCAGCUUGUUGGUGGGGUAAUGGCCUACCAAGGCGUCGACGGGUAGCCGGCCUGAGAGGGUGUACGGCCACAUUGGGACUGAGAUACGGCCCAGACUCCUACGGGAGGCAGAAGUGGGGAAUAUUGCACAAUGGGCGCAAGCCUGAUGCAGCGACGCCGCGUGGGGGAUGACGGCCUUCGGGUUGUAAACUCCCUUCGCUAGGGACGAAGCGCAAGUGACGGUACCUGGAGAAGAAGCACCGGCUAACUACGUG
rnacentral:rRNA from 1 species